UCCAUUUUUAUUGAAAGCGACGGGCGAUAUGUGCACAUUAAAUUGAUCUUUAAAUAUUUAUUCAUUUUUUAAAUAUUUAUUUAUAAAUUCUAUAUUAUUAUUUAUUUUAUUUUAGUCUAUAUAAUUUUUAGGUGUAUCCCAUAAUUUCUUUAUUUUAAUUAUUGUCUUGAUUUGUUUUAAAAUUUUUUUAUUAUUUCUGAUAAAAUUUAUAUAUUUUUUUUAUUUCAAACAAUGAUAUAAAGAAUUAUAAAAAAAGUUCAUUACAUCGUGGGUUAUCUAUUAUAACACAGGAUCCUCUAAUUAUUUUUUAUGCCGCCAUAUUUAACAGUUUUUUCUGUAUUUAGAUACUACCUUAGGCUACUUUAAAA
rnacentral:rRNA from 1 species